rnacentral:rRNA from 1 species
UACGUAGGGCGCAAGCGUUAUCCGGAAUUAUUGGGCGUAAAGGGCGCGUAGGCGGCCUGGCAAGUGGAAGGUGAAAUCCCUCGGCUUAACCGAGGAACUGCCCUCCAAACUGCUUGGCUUGAGUCCGGGAGAGGUGAGUGGAAUUCCCAGUGUAGCGGUGAAAUGCGUAGAUAUUGGGAGGAACACCAGUGGCGAAGGCGGCUCACUGGACCGGAACUGACGCUGAGGCGCGAAAGCGUGGGGAGCAAACGGG